UACGUAGGGUGCAAGCGUUGUCCGGAAUUAUUGGGCGUAAAGAGCUCGUAGGCGGUUUGUCGCGUCUGCUGUGAAAACGCGAGGCUCAACCUCGCGCCUGCAGUGGGUACGGGCAGACUAGAGUGCGGUAGGGGAGAUUGGAAUUCCUGGUGUAGCGGUGGAAUGCGCAGAUAUCAGGAGGAACACCGGUGGCGAAGGCGGGUCUCUGGGCCGGUACCGACGCUGAGGAGCGAAAGCGUGGGGAGCGAACAGG
rnacentral:rRNA from 1 species